GUGCGGGCUUCUGUGCGCCGAUUGGUCCGACUCCCCCGUCAGCGGCCCGGCUCAGCUGUCCGCGUGCGCCUGACUGGUCCGCGGUGCCCGGAGCCCACGUGCCGCCGCCGCCCCGGACACCGGGCGGCCCGCGAGAGCUGCGGCAGAUCGCGCUCCCCACGGCGGGAGCGCCCGGCGCGGCGCUGGUGGCGACCACGUGUGAGCGAGGCGCGCGGGCAGGGAGCGCCCGGCGCGGGGCUCGGGGCCGUCCCCGAGGAGCCCGGGGCGGAGCAGGCCGAAGCGCCGGGCGUGGCCCUCCUGGCUGCCCGGCCAGAGCUGCGGGCGGGUGCGCGCGCGGUGCCGUCGCCCGCCUCUGCCCGACCAACUGUUUUGUAGGAAUCUGUGUAGAUGGUGACAGGCUCCUCCUCGUGCACCCGUCCUUGGAGCCAGCGUGUCAAUGACGAGCUGCAGCAUGACAGAAGCAGGACUUGGGGCAGAAGGGCCCCCGGGACCUGUCAUGCCUGCAAGGGCCAUUCUGGGCACUCAGGUGUGCGUGCGGGGCCUGCAGCGGUCCCUCGGAAACAGCCAGGGCACCACGGGUAACAGGCUAGUCCUUGUGCACCUGUGCUUGGAACCAACUUACCAGUGAGGAGGUGUAGGCCUGGGGUAGAAGGGCCUCAACAGCUGACACAUCUGCAGCGGGUGACUGCAGGCUGCUGAGAAACCGGCUUUUGGGGCCUGCACCAGUCUCUCGGAAACAUCUGAGGCAGCUCUUGCAACAGAUACCAAUUGCUCAGGAUGAAAUGGCACUUUCUCUUAGCUAUGCUGCAUCUAUGGAGGCAACAGUGCAUGGGGCUCUGUGGUGUCUGGCAGUUCUGAGCAGAUGCAGAACUCCACUGAGCCAUCCCAGUUGCCGGAAGCAUCAUCCUCAGGACAGAGGUCCAGUCAGGAGCUAGAUGAAACAACACAGUUGGACAUCUCUGAAAGACUGUCCGUGGAAGAUGUUGAGUCUGAAACUGGCAUGACAUGACAUGGCUGUGUCAACAGUCCUUGAGACCAGGAGCUUAAAGGACCACAAGGGUGAGGACAAGUGUUGCUUGGAACAUGAGCCAGUCAGCCUUACAGACCUGAGUCUAGGGUGAUGGUCACAUCUCUUGGCUGAGUAACUGUCCACUUCUGCAGCGGGUGAUGGUAACUUCAUUCCUUAUAUGUAUUGCUAAUCCUACAAAGUGAUGUGCUUUAGGCAAGAUGGCUGUGAUUACUUCCAGAGGAAAUGUCAAAGCAGUCACUUUCUAGCGAACAAACCUGUGCUAGCAGCACAAAUUGCAGGAAUGGGACUUGGACUGGCAUGUUCUCCAAGUAGGUGUGCAAAUAAAAGGAGCAAGCAAGGUGCACUGUCAAAUACAAGGCAAACGUGAAGUCAGUUUUAAGACCUGUUUUACAAAGUGUCCAGUAUCAUAACUGCUAAAAGCAAUGGGUCAGUUGAGGGAGACCUUGCUACAGAGCUUUUGUGAAUUGGGAGUUGGUGAAACUACUAAUUGUGUGAUGCAAGAUACUAAUGUAGUUUGCAUGAUGAAACAAAACAUGUCUAUGUAGGUGAAAUACUUACUGAUGGGGAGAUGCAGUAGUCUAUAAAUGGCAUGGGUUUUUUUGUUCUUGAGCUCUAGAGUCGGAAUGAAGUCAGCCUCGUGCUGCACGGAAAUGCAAGUGAAGAUUUUUUUACAAAAAUAUAUAUUUAUUGAUUGAUUUUUAGUAAUUUUUUUGUCCCCCAAGCCAGAUUAAUUCCAAAUCCAUGAGUCAUUCAAGAACCACAUGUGACCCUACUACCAGCAGACAUCCUCCACCCCCACCUGGGGCUUCAGAUGCUUCCAAAUCAUUUGGCGGGCAUACUAUGUGCAGGACCUAGCUCAGAGGCUUGGGGUUCAGAUGCCCCUAAGUUUCGCUCAUCCUCAACCCUGUGGCUGCAGGAGCAAGCUAGAGAGGAGUCUCCCAUUUUGCUAAAAGUGGGCAUAAAGCCAAGAUCUUCCCUCAGGAAAUGAACAUAGGAAAUUAACUACAUUUUACCUCCGCAGGUUCUACCCCAUGCCAGAAAAGCGGUUAUCCUGAGCAACUAGGAAAACCGCCUUAGUGGUCAUGGUAUUUCCGCUGCCAGGUAAGUAUGGAAAUGCGAGUGCAGAUGCCCUGUGCUAGCUUCAAAACUGUAAGUGGUAGUUCUUCCAGUUCGAGCUAGUUGAGAGUGGAAUAUUUAUAGGCACUGUAUUUAGGGUGGCCAUUGGUCCUGUUUUCUACUGAACUAUCCUGUUUUAAACCCUGUGUCUCCUCUUGGUUUCUGAAUGAGGAGUGGAUGGCAAAAAGUCCCGUUUUUUAGUUAGUUGGUGGAAAUUUACAUGUUAAUAUUAUUUGCCCUCACAAUUCUGUGGGCUGUGCCCAGGGGGUAGGGCAGUGCACAGCCAGGAGGAAUGGAGUGGCCCCACCCCUUGCUGCUGGUUGGCUAAGGUGUCAGGCCCACCCCUCUCUGCUGAUUGGCAGGGGGGCCUGCCUGUCACCAAAGGGAUGUCCUGUGUCUGGGGAUGCUAAUUACUGCACAAUAUACCCUAAGGGAGGGGCUUUCAACCUUUUUUGGUUUAGGUACCCCCGCAAGAUCGAGGAGGGGGGAGUCCACCUCUGCGAAACAAGAUGCUCUGGUGGCAAAAUCAGAUGCGCUGCCGGUGAAACUGGAAGUGCCCCCAGCUUCUCCGCUCUGCUGCCACGUGCCCCCUGGGGGCUUCCCAAGUACUGGUUGACAACCCCUGCCCUAAGUCGUCCUGAGGUCAUAACUUGCUCGGGAGUAUCAUGACGCAGAAGAGCAAUGGGAUGAAACUAAAGAAGAGAACUUCAGCCGAGCGUUGGGAAAGGGAUUUUUUGCAACAGAAAGGAAGGAGUCUUGUCCAUUCCCAGUGGGUUUAGAUUUAUGGUGCAGGGUGACACUGUGGUCCGUGCCAAAGAGGGGGGGUUUGAGACAGUGUGAAAAGCUAGGAAGGAAAUAGGAUAUUAAAUUAUUGAGUUCUGCACCAACACUCCUGCAUCCCAUGCCAUUCCUUGGCUACCUGCAUUGCAGGACAUUUCACUGCCACAACUUGUCCUCUCCGGCCUCCAAGUUGUAAGGGUGUGCCUGUAUCCCUGGCACAUCACAUUUCACUUUUAACUCUCCCUCCUUCCACCUUUCUCCCGCCCAGUCUCCCCAAAAAGACCUUUCCCAGGUAGUUUUGGAUCAAAGAUAUAUCACGACCUGUGCACCGAUUCCAAGAGAGGUUUGAUAACAUGAUACAUGUGAAGCCCAGUGAGUGGCCACUGAGGACAAUUUCCCUUGAUGAACUACAAAGUCUGAGAAUCGGUUGGACACGCGCGUCUGACGUGCAAGGGGCUCAGAGAAGUGGAAACGAGCAACUGUCUAAUUUGCAGCCGAGUUUUCCACGAAACCAACGCGUGGGGGAGGGCGGUUGGACGGAGACCUGCAGGCGGACGACGGGACCAGCUCUGGAAACGCCAGUGCCUCCGGGCGCCGCAAGAACCUCACCCCCGGGCUGGUCUUCCGCCCGCCAAACCGUGGGCGGCCGGCGGGAGCAGCGGUCGAGCACGGGGCUGGGAACGGACGAAGCGGGACACCCAGGGUGGCCGGGGCCAUCCUCCCGCCUCGGCCACGGUCUCCUGUUCAAGGCGGUCCGCAAGAUGCAGUGCCCAGGCCACAGGGCCGGCGACUGACGAGGUCCCACUGCGGGCGCUGCGCAAGCGCGCUAACCUAGUAUCCAUAAAUUCGGCGUUCAGCUGAUCCGCCUGUCAGUGAUGCGCAUGCGAACUUGCCUUGCCAAUUGAUGGGCAAGCGCGGUGCUCACCCGUACCCAAGUGCGCAUGCGGGCAAAGGGCGGCUCAUCGACGUUUUCGUCAUCCGACAGCUCUACUCCGCAUGCGCAGUGGUUUAAUGACCCCCCCCCCAGCGUUGUUUUAAUUACCCGGCCGCUUUCCCGGACACCGGCUCCGCGCGGCGACGGUUGCAGGCCCGGAGUGACGGGAGGGAGCGUCCCUGUCCUCCCUCGAUUAAUGACUGGACGCGGGGAACCUAUUCCGUUUGUUCCCAGUAUGCAUGCGCGUUGGGACUCGGGCCUCGAUAAUUUUAGAGGUCAGCCCUGUUGUCCCUGCCUCGGUAGCCAUGAAAACCUCAAUACGUUCGGCACUUGGCAGCGCCCCCCUAUUACCAGGACGCAUGCGUUAAUCCACAAUACUGAUAAUUGAUGUGUUUGGCCUCCAAGCGAUACGCAUGCGCGCUUCUCAGUGUUCAGCCUCUAACAGCCAUGCACAUGCGCACUUGCUUUGCCCGUUGAACAGUAAAGGUGGUGCCGCCUAAUUCCCAAGUGCGUAUGCGUGCUCAUGGCCAGUCCCAACUGGAAGGCAGCUGUGCGCUGCAGCGCAUGCACACUUGGUCUCCCCAGUGAUGGUUUAAGGACGUGGCCGUUUGCCCGCGCUCCGCUGGCUGCGGGUGCGGGCCCGGAGUGAGAGGGCGGGGCGGCUAUGCACACACGCGCGCUGGGUGUCCCCCAGUGAUGGUUUAACGCAGCAGUCGACUUCCCACAUAGCGAGCGGCGCCGAGGUCAGCGUGCGGCCCCUUCCCGUUGCCCCUUGUAUUGGUUCCAGAGGGAACUGUAGCGCUCAUUUUCUACUACGUAUGCGCAUUGUGACUCGCGCCUCAUAGUUUCGGCGCUGGUUGUGUCGUCAGUGCCGUGGUGACGAAAACACCAAUAAUUCCUACUCAGCACCGAGCCCUGAUUUCCAAGACGCAUGCGGCAAUCCGCAAAAUGGGCGAUCGAUGUCUUUGCAGGGCGAGCACUGCGCAUGCGAACUCACCAUUAUCGAUGAAUGCGGUAUUCUGCUAAUCAGACCAUAACCUCCGUGCGCAUGCGUACUUGAUUCGCCCACUCGUGGGCAAAGGACAUGUGCUGUCUGCGCAUGCGUGAUCAUGGUCGGUCAUCCAUGUUUUCGUCCCACGAUUGCGAACCAGCUUUGGACUGGUGCUCGCACUGCCCCGCCCCGAGAAAUGGCUUCAACACUCAGGUCGCAUUCCCGCACACGGGCUUCGCAACCCGUGCAGCUGCAGCUCUGGCCCCAAUUGACAGAGAGGGGUAAAGCGGGGCAUUUCUGACCCUUCGUCUUCCCGCGAGAAUUGGACACCAUCGAUCAGGCUUACUCCGCAUGCGCAUCGGGACUGGCACCGUGAUCGUUUCGAUGCUCGUCCUGUCAUCAUUACCGCUGUAACCAUGGAAACCCAACAAUGACUACCUUUCUUGGCACCGCCCUGAUUCCGAAGACACGUGUGAACCGACAAUAUCGGCGAUCGAUGUAUUUUCACUGCCGCCACUGCGCAUAUGUAUUAACCAGCUCUAUCGAUAAAUUCGGUUUUCAGCUGAUCA